GGGAGGGGUGACUAGUGGCAGAGUGAGGGAAGGAAGGGGUGACUAGUGACAGAGUGAGGGAGGGGGUGACUAGUGACAGAGUGAAGGAGGUGGUGACUGUCACUAGUCACCACCUCCCUCACUCUGUCCCUAGUCACCCCUCACUCUGUCACUAGUCACCCCUUCCCUCCCUAACUCUGUCACUGUGUCAUCCCAUCCCUCACUCUGUCACCAGUCACCCCCUCCCUCUGUCACCAGUCACCCUCUCCC